AAUUUGCUGUAUUAUUAUUAUUAUUUUUUUUUUUAGAGAUAAGUAGCACGCUACCCGCUUCAUUUAUUUCAUUUAGAAAUAAACUUAGCUGGAAAUAUGAAUCAGCUAGGAUUCGAACUUGGGUCUCGGGUAUCAACCACGAAGCCCUUUGUCACUUGCUCUAGGAACGGUCGGUACAACUCUCAAUUAUUACACUUGCAUUGAUGAUAGAUGGAUGUACGGCAAUAUUUAAUAUUAUUUUGACUAAAAUGCUUGAAUAGCACAUCUAGUCUUUCCGAAUAUUUCCACUUGGUUUCUAAACUUAAUUUUUAACGUCUAAACUUUCACGUGUAAUACACUUUUAGUUUAUAAUUGUGAAAAGUUCUAUGUCUUUUUUAAAAAUUAUCAAAAUGGUAAUUUUGAAUAUAUUCAAGUUAAUCCCAAGAUUACUUUUAGCCUUUGUUUGGUUGGGGGUUAAUAGGUGGAAUAACAUUUUAACUCCCAUAUUAUCCUCAAACACUUUCAAAAUUAGCUAACUUCAUCUCAAAUGGGCUAUUCCGGAUUAGCUAACCCCACAUAACCCUACCAAACCCCAACCAAACACUAUUUUCUAUUCAUAAUAACCCACUAUCCUUCUUAUCCUACCUACUCCAACCAAACAUUAUUUUUCACUAUCUUGGACUAACUCCAAUCCCCAACCAAACACAAAAAUACUCUAACCCCACCUUAACUCUGAACUUAACCCUAUCCCUGAAAUAACUAGUUUUUCCUUAACCCUGAAUCAAACGGUAGCUUAGGGCUUGUUUGGUUCAUCCAUUUUUGGUAUGGAAUGGGAAUCAAUUUUCCGGACUGGAAUGGGAAUGGCCCAUUAGCCUUUAAAUUGAUUCCGGUCUUCUAGUCCGGAUUAAGAUUUCAUUCCGGAAGCCCACUAAGUUCUCGAAGCCCAUGUGACCAUCUCACCCUCCUUCUCUUCACCCCUUUCUCAUCAAAAAAAANUUUUAAAAAUAAAUAUGAUAUUUUUUUUGAAAAACUUAUUAGAGAAUAAUAUUAUAUUUUUCAUAAAUUUUAAAUAAUAUAAAUUUAUAUUUGAGAGUAAAAUUAGUAUUAUAGUAUCUUAUAAUUUUUUUAGUUUAUACGAACCAAACAAUGAAAUGUGAAUAACUCAUUCCAAUUUCCAAUCCACAAAUAAACCAAAUGUCUUGGGGGAGUGGGCAAUUCCAAUUACCAUUCCAAUUCAUUUUCAUUCCAUUAUUCAUUCCAAUUCCACCCUUGAACCAAACAAGCCCUUAAUUCCUAGAAAUAAAUUGUAAUAUAUGUCAAACUUCAAAUGCUAAAAAGUGGGAACCAAGUUGAACCAAAAACUAUCU
rnacentral:lncRNA from 1 species